rnacentral:rRNA from 1 species
UACGGAGGGGGCUAGCGCUGUUCGGAAUUACUGGGCGUAAAGCGCACGUAGGUGGCUUUGUAAGUUAGAGGUGAAAGCCCGGGGCUCAACUCCGGAAUUGCCUUUAAGACUGCAUCGCUUGAAUCGUGGAGAGGUAAGUGGAAUUCCGAGUGUAGAGGUGAAAUUCGUAGAUAUUCGGAAGAACACCAGUGGCGAAGGCGACUUACUGGACACGUAUUGACGCUGAGGUGCGAAAGCGUGGGGAGCAAACAGG